rnacentral:rRNA from 1 species
AUGACAAUAAAUAAAAGCCAAGGUCAAUCCCUAAACAAGGUGGGCCUAUAUUUUCCUAAGCAAGUCUUCUGCCAUCGCCAACUAUAUGUGGCAUUAUCAAGAGUCACAAACAAAGAAGGAUUAAAGGUUCUGAUCGACGACACGAAGUGCCCAAGCGAACAUAGUGCAAAGAAUAUAGUAUACAAAGAGAUCUUCUAA